rnacentral:rRNA from 1 species
UACGGAGGGUGCUAGCGUUGUUCGGAAUCACGUGGACGUAAGCGCGUGUAGGCGGUUCGGUAAGUCUGCUGUGAAAGUCCAGGGCUCAACCCUGGGAUGCCGGUGGAUACUGUCGGACUAGAGUACGGAAGAGGCGAGUGGAAUUCCCGGUGUAGCGGUGAAAUGCGCAGAUAUCGGGAAGAACACCCGUGGCGAAGGCGGCUCUCUGGGACGGUACUGACGCUGAGGAGCGAAAGCGUGGGGAGCGAACAGG